AUGAAGACAAUAAAGAGAAAAUAUGUAUAAGUCUGUGGGAUCCUUAUUGACUCCCUUAGAGUAAGGCUGUUAUUCUUUCACAUGUCUGAAAACAUUUCUAUUCUGCACUCGUAAGAGCAUACUAACAUACUCACUUUUCCUUACAGCUGCCUUUACAAUAUAACAAACCCCUUAGGGACCAGAGCACUCCUCUCCACAACCUAGACUCAGCAUAGUCAUGGCCUCAUACACCUAACUCACACACUAAGAUUCAUGCCUUAUUCUUUUCUCUAUGUGUGGUCUUUCUCCUUUCCUUCCCUCCUCUCCUCUCCUAAAAACUCAUCCUGUUCCCUCCCCUACCUAUGUGUGUAUGUACACAAAGAUUUUUGAGACAUAAUAUCUAUAGCUCAGGCUGGCGUGGAAAUCAUUAUCCUCCUAUCUAAGAACUGAGAUUACAUGCAUAUGCCACCACACCCAGCUGCAUUUAUUCUUUUAUCAACAGGUUUAUAGCAAAAGGAUGCCUACUUCUUUCUGCAGUCAUGUUUGUACACAUGGCUCUGCCUUGUGACAAUAAUUUAUCCAAGUUGGGUUAAGACUAUCAAACUCAACCAAGGCAGGUAUAUAACAUUCUUCUAAUGAUUUCAAGAUCAGCAAACUUAUUCUUAAAGCAGAGCUGCUGUGGCCAAAACAGGGCAUGAGGAAUUCUGCUGCACCCUCUCCCUUUCCUGCCAAGGCUCUCCCACAGAAUCCUCAGGUUUCAACUGAGCACAAUUGGAAAAUGACUGCAUCUUGCCAGGCAGUGGGUGGUGGGUUUUUUGUUGUUUUUGUUUUUCCAAUGACGUAGUUCCUCUAGUUCUUCAUGAAUUAUUUGUACAAUGACUGGAUGGAUAUGAAUGUUCUUGUCCAGUUUCCUGAUGAAUAUGUUAGGAUGCCUGGCACUUGGUCCCUCUGAUUUCUUUAACUUCGGUUAAAAUUUCCUUUAACAUAUCCCCAGUCUUUUAUUUGUAGAGUGGAAUAAAUCUUUGAAGUUGA